UCGUCCAACUCGUUUAUUUCCUGGAUUAAUCCAACAUGGCAGCGUCCUUGUGAUUUACGAUACAUGUACAGUCAAGCUCCAAAAUUUUUUAAAACAUGCAAAUCAAAGAAGUAGUAAAGUGGAAUGUACGGGUGUCUAUGCUGUAUGCUUUCGGUAUAUGGACAAUGCUCGGCACAUACGGAUAUUAUCAGUACAUGGGGCGCAAUGAAGAAAAGCCAGUCAAAGAAGAGAAGGAGGAACAACCUCCAAAUCCUAGAGAAGUAACUAUCCAGAGUGCACACAUGAAAACCACCAUUGUCUACAAGGAAAACUUUGUUCCUUAUUCUACAAGGAUCUACAAUUUUGUCAGCUCGCUCAGUCGGGACUCUGCAUCUGCUGACAGCCAAGACAAUACAAAGUAAUGGUGAAAAUUGACCUGAACUGAUGCCAUUGCCUGCCUAGGCUACCACAUUUGAGAUGUGUGUAGCAAAAUACUUAGGAAUUAACACUGUAAAUUGUACAUUGGAUAUAUCUCUGUGUAAAAUACACUGACUGAAAUGAUUUGUCACUUGUACAAUGAAUUGAAAUACCACAGUAUCCCUCUGUUCGAGAACCCCUCUGCAAGCCUUGAAACCCUCUCUACCUACACUGCACACGUUCUCAAUGCAAAGUGUAGACAACAUCUGGCUGUUGAACUUCUAGAUGUGGCAGUGAUAACCUGUCCUGUGCAUUGCUGCUGUAUUACAUUCAGUCCAAUCAGAUUUUUGUUGCAAAAUUCUGAAAUAGGAGCAUAACCUUUUUAUACAACUAGCAGAGUGUCUGACAAGCUGGCCUAUAUCAUGCAUGAUUUUCAGCACUUCAAGAUUAAAUCAAUAAAACUUCUGUCAAAUAAACUUAGUUUGUAAAUGAA